UGCAGACUAGGGCACAGCUUCCUUUGGCUGGUCACAGCCCCACCACACCUGUCUUUUCACUCUGUGGCACAAAUGCCUACUGUCACCAGGGCUCUUUCACAUGCACAUGUGACUUCCAGGUGACCACAGAGAUAGGACACGGGGCGGGGCAGAAAGGUGUUCAGUUCAUUAACAUGAGAGACGAGACGGCCUCAGUCACAGCCCGAGGUCAACUGAAAGGAGAUGCAUGAAGAUGUGAGCUUGGUCCCCAGAAGCCAUGUAAAACGGAGCUAAGCGUGGUGUGUGUUCAUCGGUCCAGUGAAGCGGAGGCAGGGACCGGCAAAUUCCAGGGGCUCCCUGGCCCUCCAGCAUUGCUUACUUGGAGAACUCCAGGCCAGUGAGAGAGCCUGUUUCAACAAAAUAAAAAAAAAAGGUAGCUGAUGCCUGAGAAA